CCUCUCCGCUCUGUUCUUUCUUUUGCUCUCGCAGUGUGUUUAUUUCAAAUUAGUAAAGGUAACAAAACGAAGCAAGCAAGUGGAAGAAAAGAAGAAUAACAAGAUGAAGAGCCAAAGGAGAAAAACAGUUUGCAAGGUGCAGAGCAUACAGGGUGGAGGCAUUCCUUUGGUUAUCUUUUUCAUCUUCUAUUUGUCUGUGAGUGAAUGAUUGGAGGGAUUGUUUCCUCUUUACAGGGCCCAACACGCUGCCAUCAAGUAUUCGCUCUUAAAAGCCUGCAACCGGACAUACUGUCUCUCAUGCAUGACAUUAACAGUUAUUUAACUAUUAACCAGGCAUUUACGAUUGCAUUAAUUAUGAAUUUAAUUACGAAUUUACAAAUAUUUAAUGCAAAUUAAAUCACAACCUCAGGCACGGAAACCGUGCUGCCCGGACACACACACACACACACACACACAUACGAUCCAUCAGUGCUGCAAACACACACACACACACACCUACCCAAUAAGGCGUCGUAAAAAAGUUUCGCUUUCUUUUUGCACAUCAUUUUGCAUGCGCAGUGGAAAAAGUAGAGACAAAUACAGUAAAAAAAAAGAAUACAAAAACAGUGCCACUACAAGUAUAUACAUAUGAAUGUACGCACUAGUACUACUAUAAGGUGUUAAGCACCAUCCACCAAAAAAAAAAACAACACCAACGAUUGCAGCCAUUGAGCAGAACACGAUUUUUGUGUAUUGCGCGGUGAGUGAGAGAGAAAGAACGUGCAUAAGUGUGUGUGUUUUUGGGAUGCUGAGAGAGUGAGAGCGACAGAAGCCGGUUGGUCGGUGCUGCCAGAUAACAGCUGUUACUCUUUCUAGCCGCUGGCAGAUGCAAUCCACAUGCCCGUUCUUGUGAAUUCUAUUCGGCUUUUAGCCGGUUUUU
rnacentral:lncRNA from 1 species